CCCCGCCCCAGUUCCCUGUCUGUGAGCCGAUUUCUCUGCCCAGGGUCGGCGCGCGCGGCUGUCUCAGAACUCAUGCAGCUGUUCCCGCGAGGCCUGUUUGAGGACGCGCUGCCGCCCAUCGUGCUGAGGAGCCAAGUGUACAGCCUCGUGCCUGACAGGACCGUGGCCGACCGGCAGCUGAAGGAGCUUCAAGAGCAGGGGGAGAUCAGAAUCGUCCAGCUGGGCUUCGACUUGGAUGCCCAUGGAAUUAUCUUCACUGAGGACUACAAGACCAGAGUCCUCAAAGCCUGUGAUGGCCGACCGUAUGCUGGGGCAGUGCAGAAAUUUCUAGCUUCAGUACUUCCAGCCUGUGGGGACCUUAGUUUCCAGCAGGACCAAAUGACACAGACCUUUGGCUUCAGGGACUCAGAAAUCACGUGAGACUUGUGGAACCAACAAAGUCAGGCAUCUGGUGCUUCCCUGCCUCCCUCCAGUUCCAUCCAGCCUGUCCUUCUGUGUUUUUGGUGAACCUGCCAGAAAAGCUGCCAAAAAGCUGACUCUUCUUUUUAAUGAAAUGACCCAAGUUUGUAUUCCUCCCCACAAGAGAGGAGGCCUGUCUUACCUGGGGCCUUAGAAAGAGUCCUGGAAUAGAAUUCAGUUCUUGGUGGCUUAUCAAAAGCACACAGGGACCUGGCAGGAACUGUAAAAGCUUGAUGUUAAUCAUACUGGGACUAAGAGGAUAGAGA
rnacentral:sRNA from 1 species